UCUCAGCGCGCACACGCACGCACACACGCGCACACACAAGCUGUAAUAAUGAGGUUUAAUUCUCUAUCCAAGCAGAACUUGAGCAAUAAUAAUAAGCCCAUCAGAACAAUUUGUUUACUGGCAUCGAACAGACGGCAAAAUAAGGUCCGAGAAAGACUGGCUGCAUGAAACAGUUUAAAGGGGGAAAAAUGACUUCAAGCGAGUCAGAGAGAGGGGGAAAAUCUGAGGAGACACAAGGCUUGAAUACUGUAGAAGGCACAAAGGUGAUGUUCCAUAAAAGGAGUCUGAUGGCUUUGUCCAAGACUCCAGGUGCCAGGCAAUAGGAAAUGGUGUGCUUGCCCAGCAGAACGAUUUACAAAGAGGAAAGAGCUUGCUGUGGAGAAGGCCAAAAGAAAUGGAACCCCCCAUAAAAUUAUACCUAUUUGGUGGGUUUUUUUGGUUUUGUUUUUGUUUUGCUACAAAACCUGGUUCUUAUAAGGCAAAGUUAAACAAAGCAGCUAUGCUAAAUUAGCGUUAAAUAAAGGGGAGUUUAAUGCUCGGCUACAGUCAACUGGUGUAUAUCUGAUGGCUAAUUGUCUAUCAGAAUUAAAGAGAAAAGAAUAAAUGAUUCGUUAUAAGAAGGUGUUAAAAGCUCCAACAAAGGGAGACAUUUCACAAACAUAAUAUAUUUAGAUGGUAAAUUUGAGCCUUUUGGAAAUGGAAGCAAGAGUUUUAUGUAGGAGGAUGCAUUUAACAUGUCAGGAGCUGGCUUUUUGAUCGAAAGAGAAAAUCAGCGCAAGAAAAGGAUCUGCCCAGACACCUCACAUUCAUAAUCUUUAAUCUUAAAUCAUUACCACUGUCAUAGAAAAGCAAAGAAUGCUAAAGCGAUGGAAUAAAGGCUGCUUCGGAAGUUUAUAGGUUCUUCAUACAGAAGGCGCCAGUCCUCUUUUAACAUGAACGGGAACAACGCAAGCAGCAACGCCACGGAGCGACCCCGUUUUAUUGCAAAGCGCCUUGGACAGAGGUGCUGAGAGCUGGACCGCUGUGGCAGCGACUGGCGUCGAAAAGAUUCUUGGGAUAAGAAUCCAGGCACAGGAAGUUUCAAAAUGGACAUGGCAAGAAUGGAUGGGAGGCAAUCUUGGAGGAUAAAUCUCAAUUAAAAAAAAAAUAAAAGUUCUUUUCUUCAUAGGUUCUUAUUUCAAUUUCAUCCCAAUGAAAUAAAAGAAAAAGAAAAACGAAUAAACAUAAACUCCUGUAUCCAUAUCUGAAAA